ACUGUCGGUGGCAAACCCAGAGGUGGUGGUGGCAGCGCGACUUCAGAGAGGAGGCAGUGGUGGUGUCGGUUUCAGAUCGGAGAUGUGGGAGAUGGAGGCUGGUUCGCGGUUUGAGGAGAAGGGGUCGGUUGUGGUGGGUUGACGCGGUUGCGAGGGUGAAGGGAAGAGAAGGCUCGGUGGUGGUUGAUUUGGAAGAGAGGCAGCUGUGGUGGUGCGAUUUGG
rnacentral:lncRNA from 1 species